CGACUCCUUAAGGGCCUGGCGCACAUAAGGGCCACAUCUGCCAGAGCCUGGAGUCUGCGAAGGCCGGGACCCGGUUCCCCGGCCCACAGUGGGGGUGUGCAAACCCGAGAGAACUGGGUUGCAAAUUCGUGAAGAAUCAGCAUCAUGUUUGGCAGCUGAGUAUUGGAGCCAGGAGCCUGCCAUGAGGUUUUGAGAACAGAGUGCUGUUUUAGAGCUGGCAGCAGCAUCUCAGCCCAAGAGAAGGUUAUAUUCCCAGAGGAUGUCAGUCCCAAGGACCAGUAGCUGCCAUCAGUUUGGAUUCUGAAAACUAACUGGCAUCAACACUGGGUGUAGAAACAUGCUUGCCUUAUGUAUCAGAGGACAUGCUCAGCAGAUCCAAGAGAUAUAUUUGGCAACUUUUUCUAGAAAAGGCACAUUGGGUAUCAUUCAUUACAUUCUUGAGUUUUUUUGGGUUUUUUUUUUUUUUUUUGAGACAGUCUUGCUGUAUUGCCCAGGCUGGAGUGUGGUGGCACAAUCACAGCUCAUUGCAUCCUCAAUCACCCAGGCCUAAGCAAUCCUCCCACCUUGUAGCUGGGACUACAGCUCACAGCACACCUGGCUAAAAUUUUUUUUUUGUUGAGACGGAUUCUCUAUGUUGCCCAGGCUGGUCUCAGGCUCCUGGGCUCAGAUGGUCCUCCUGCCUCAGCUUCCAAAGGCACAGGCCAAGUUGUAGCUUUGUCCCUUGCCAUCAUGCCCAACAAGAGGUUCUAUACCUUUUAAUGAAUUGACUUUCAUAAAUUGGUUAUGUUGGUGGGCAAAGUUCUUUAAGCUGGAAAUUGUAAAUUCCUCCUGAAAUGUUUUUUCAUGCAGUUACCAUGAACUAAUACUACAAUAAAGGAUGGUCUUGGGUGUCAAUUCUUGAAAA
rnacentral:lncRNA from 1 species